GAGAAGACACAGGGCUUGGAGGAAGCAAGACUGUUCAGCAUGAAUUGGAACUGAUGUAUGAGCUUGCUGUAGCACUUGGAAUAGAAAAACUCUUUUCAGUCCCUUUGAUCCCUCUCAGACUACACCAGGGUUCAACUGAGGAACAACAGCGCUGACCACCAUCCUUCUCGAUCUUUGGGGAAAUAAACUUUUUGGAUAGGGGAGUCAGAUGAGGCUGCAUUUUCCACCAGGGAACAGGAAGUGCUGCGGGAAGAUCCCAGCUUCUAGCUAAAGCUGGGGCGGUAGGAGCUGCCGGCCAGCUCGCCAUCCAGUCCCCAGAGCCCGGGCUUUAGGGCGCCGGAAUGCGACCAGUUUUACCGCCAAGGAGCCGGGCCAGGCGCGCCUCCUCCCCGCGGCCUCGCAAGGAACAGGUUAGGGAGAGACUUCCAACUUUCUCUGGCCGGCCCUGAACGCUCGCCGCCCCUGCCCAGCCGCCCACUGUCUGGCAGCCUGCAAGUCUCCAUUCAGAAGCGGCUCCGUGCUGCCCAGCGCUGGCGCCCUGGCGGCGCGGAACCCUGCGGCCAAAUAACACGACCUGGGGGCAAAGGAGGACAACAGUUCCCACCAGGACAAAAAAUAAUAUCCAAGGAUAUUUUGGCACUAAUGGCGCAAUCUGUAGCAAGAAAGUUGAGCAGUCUGAACUGUUGAGACUUCCAAGGAGACUUCAGAGAACCAAAACAGUGUAAAGGAAAACAGGAAAAAAGACUUGUUAGACAUUAUUAAGGGCACGAAAGUUGAAUCGAGCACAGUAAAUGUACAAACAACAAAGCCACCCAGCAGAAGUCCACUUAAAAGCGACGACUGGCGGGCCUCAAAGAGCUGCAGAACAUGCUCCAAAGAAGAGAAAUGAGCCCCUGAGUCCUGAGAGAGAGCUGCAUCUGCUGCUCUCUUUUGACAAGCAAACAAGCCAGAGCUGCUCAGGCAGCUCCGUAGCAUGAGAAGUCAGGGGCACAGAGAGAUGGAUAGAGACCUAAAAUUAGUUUCAGUAACAAAAUAUCAGAUACGAAAAUUGCCAGAUGUGCUACAGCUAAGGUUAGUAUAAGUCAAGAGCAUCAUAUUCAGUUUGACCAAGUCUUUGACAAUUAUCCUGACCAGGAGAAGACCGCUGAUCUUAGAAACAGGAAAAUACAUUCAUGGGGAAGAGACAUAAUAGUUUUGACAUUACGGCAGUUACAGCACCUGAACAUGUUUGUUAAGAAUAACUGCUUCUCAGGUGGAGAAAUAAUUUCAUCUCUUCAAGAUGUCCUUAGGUUUUGAUGGUGUAAUAGCUGGAUAUUUUAAUAUUCCCUCCUGUAAUUGGCCUGGAUCUGAAUGAUGAAUGUGGCGGUUGUUAGAAGGAAAACUUGGGAUUGUAAUGUUCCCCAAAUUGGGAAGGCAUCAAGAGACCAAAGAAUAAUUUGGACACAUCACCUUCACUUUGGGAUGUGGAAUUUGCUAAGUAGUUAGCCACAGAAAAUGAACACCCCUUCAGAAUGGGUUUGAAGAGCUGAUCCACUGGAUGAAAGAGGGGAAACUGGGAGUUCCCAAUUAAUAGUGAAGCAGGAGCUGACUAAGGCUUUGGAACAGAAACCAGAUAAUGCACGAUAGUAUUGUCAAAGAGCUUAUUGUCACAUUCUUCUUGGGAGUUACUGUGGUCAUUUUUCUUCCAAAGUAUAUUGUCCCUUUUUAAUAAGUUACUUAUACAUUUUACCCAUGACAAAUUAGUCAAAUAAAAUAAAGGUUGUCUUUGAGGAUUUUUUAAUUGGUCUUUCAUACAAGGUAAAGUAGCUCAAGUGUGACAGACAUGUUGAGCAACACUUAUUUACAUUUUAUGGAUGUCUCAUUUUCCUUCAUUGGGUGGAGAAUGUAUAUAGAUUUCAUUCAUAGUUAUUGGGUGAGCUGAUAAAGAAUAGUAUCAUAUUUACUAUUUGACAGAGUAUUAAAAUGAAAUGCUCUUUGUAUUUUUUGUAAAAAUGAAUGUGGCUAGGCAUGGUGGCUCAUGCCUGUAAUCCCAGCACUUUGGGAGGCCAAAGCUGGAGGAUUACAUGAGCCCAGAAGAUCGAGUCUAGCCUGGACAACAUAACAAGACCCUGUCUAUAUUAAAAAAAUAAUGUAUUUCUGUAUUUUGUAACUUUAAAAAGUUAUUCUGAUGAAUAAUCU